UCCUGAUAAAGUGGCCUUUGUGUCAGCAUUUUCAAGACCACUUUUCAAGCACUCUUGUUGGGGCAAGUUUUAGGUGAAGUGUGUUUUGAUCAUCCUGAAGGAUUUCAGUGAUGCGUGUUGGUUGUUGGAGUAAGAGGAAGCACAGUCAGGUCUUGAAUCAGAAAGGAAUUCUUGCUGGAUCCUGAGCUGAAGGAGCCCCAGUGGAGGGUCCAUGUGGCCCCCCAAGGCUGCCGUGGCUCAGGGCCCUUGGGACCCCUGCCCCAACCGGGCCCGCCAUGGCUUCUGCCACGAGGCCAACGGGCUAUUCAUCAGUGAACUGAUUUAAAUGGAUUUGGAGGAAUUCUUCAAUACCAAAGACACCACGGGACUUUCUGGUGACCAGGGAGCCGACAUGAGACCCCGUCCCCUCCAGACCUCUACCCCCUCAUCACCUGUGAGAGCCCUCUGUCCGAUGAGUCCCUGGUGGCCAUGGGCUGCCUGGCCCAGGACUUCCUGCCCAGCUCCAUCACCUUCUCCUGGAACUACAAGAACAACAGUGUGGUCAACAGCCAGGACAUCACGACCUUCCCUCCAGUCCUGAAAGAGGGCAAGUAUGUAGCUACGUCUCAGGUGCUCCUGCCCUCUGUGGCCAUCCUCCAAGGUUCCGAUGACUUCCUCACAUGCAAUGUCAAGCACCCCAAGGGCAACAUUAAGGUGCCCGUGCCCAUCUCAGUGCCUCCAGAGCUGCCCCCCAACGUGACUGUCUUCAUCCCACCCCGUGACGCCUUCUCUGACAACAACCAGCGCACGUCCCAGCUCCUCUGUCAGGCAACAGGCUUCAGCCCCAAGGAGAUCUCUGUGUCCUGGCUUCGUGAUGGAAAGCCCAUCGAGUCUGGCUUCAACCCAGGCAAAGUGGAGGCCGAGAACAACGGGCCUGGGCCCGUGACUUUCAGGGUCCUCAGCACACUGACCGUCACCGAGAAUGACUGGCUCAGCCAAAGCAUGUUCACCUGCAACGUGAAGCACAACGGGCUGACCUUCAAGAAGAAUGUGUCCUCCACAUGCAUCCUCAACCCACAAGCCAGCAUCAGAAUCUUCACCAUCCCCCCGACCUUCGCUGGCAUCUUCCAAACCAAGUCGGCCAAGCUGUCCUGCAGAGUCAUAGACCUGACCACCCGCGACAGCCUGAACAUCUCCUGGACCCGCCAGAGCGGCGAGUUUCUGCCCACGACCACCGCCUUCCAGAGCAACCCCAACAACACCUUCAGUGCCACGGGGGAGGCCACCGUCUGUGCGGAGGACUGGGAGUCAGGGGAGGACUUCACGUGCACGGUGACCCACACGGACCUGCCCUCACCACUGAGGAAGACCAUCUCCAAGCCCAAGGGGGUCAACAAGCAGCCGCCGUCUGUGUACGUCCUGCCGCCCAGCCGGGAGCAGCUGAGCCUCCGGGAGUCAGCCACUGUCACCUGCCUGGUGAAGGGCUUCGCGCCUGCAGACGUGUUCGUGCAGUGGCUGCAGAAGGGGCAGCCCAUGUCCUCCGACAGCUACGUGACCAGUGACCCGAAGCCCGAGCCCCAGAACCCCGACCUCUACUUUGUCCACAGCACUCUGACUGUGAGUGAGGAGGAGUGGAGCUCGGGCGAGACCUACACCUGUGUUGUGGGCCACGAGGCCCUGCCGCACAUGGUGACGGAGAGGAGCGUGGACAAGGCCACCGAGGGGGAGGUGAGCGCCGAGGAGGAGGGCUUCGAGAAUCUGAACACCAUGGCCUCCACCUUCAUCGUCCUCUUCCUGCUCAGCGUCUUCUACAGCACCACGGUCACCCUCUUCAAGGUGAAAUGACUCCCCAGCUAAGAACUUCAGAGACGGAAGAUGGGACCUGGGGUCACUGCUUUGGGGCCUGUCGACUUGUACUUAAAUCCUUCCCACGUCACCCCUCCUGCUUGCAGCCCAAAGACACAGGCUUCUGGAGACCAGGCCACAUGCCGUGGAUGCGUGCCAUGGACACAGCACCGUUCUGCAGUGUAUAUGCAUGUUGCCUUGAAAUAAACGUGUAUAUUUUAUCUUGUGAAA